rnacentral:misc_RNA from 1 species
GCAUGAGCGCCACCGUUGCUGUUGACUUUUUGACCCACCCUAUGAGUUAUGUUGGUUAUGUCUCUUAUUUCUAAUCUUUGAUCUUCUUGCAGUCUUCUUUGGUCUUCUUUUUGAUUAAGUACAUAAUAUUGUGUUCCAUCUCGCAUUUGUAUAUUUUCAGCAAUAAUUUAAAAACCGAGUGAUUAAAAUUUGUUCCUUGAGAAAUAUUUCAUAAGUAGAAAGAACAUUUUCUUAUUUUUUAAAUAUUUAUUAUAUAUCAUUAGUGUUAUGAAAAUAUUAUCAACUACAAAGUGUCAUUGAAAUUACCGAUUGUCUUAAAUCACAAUAUUUGAAGUAGGAAGUCAUUUUCACCUUUUACCAUUGCUCUGUGCGAGGAUAACAGCCGUUUGCAGAUACGUACUUUUCCAAUUUUCUUUUUGUAAACUUUGUUGGAACUUUAUUAAUAAUUAUGCAUAAACGAUUAAAAGCUAUACACAAAUAUUAUAAUAAUUUGGAAUAUAAUAGAAUCAGCAAAGAAGAAGCACUAAGAAAUAUAUCCAUCUUAACUAAGAAGGUGCAAUUAAAAAAUAUUGAUUGGUUAAAUAGAUUCUCCUUUACAGCUACUCUAACGAAAGAAAAUUUGUCCAUUUUUCAAUCUGCCUCUGAGCAUGUAGAUAUAGUUACUGAUAUUAUUCAAGUAUUAAAUGAACUUGAUUUUCAAAUAACAACAUUAGAAAGAAAUAAUUUGACGGACGAAGUGCUCUUUCAAUGUCAUUUAUUCCCAGCAAUGAUUUUCAUAUAUACUACAUGGAAAGAAUCUGAAGUGCAGUUAUUUUUUGAAGAUAGCAUCCUUGAAGAUACAAAGUUUGAUAGCAAAUUAAUUCGCAAUGAGAUAUAUAAUAUAAAAACUUUUAUAUCUAGAAGUUCUAAUGAAAUGAUGCUUCUACAAGACUCAGAUUUGUAUGCAGUUAUUAGUUAUUUAAUGAUAACAAGAAAAUUUACUUUAAAUAAAAUUUGGGUGCAACAACAAAUACAAGAGAAAUUUUUAUCACUUUUAAAGAAGAAUUUUCAUCAUUUAGAUUUUCCUAUUUAGAGAAAUUAUAUACAUAAAUGCACAUAUGAAUACCCACUGUUUGAACAAGUCACCUCUAUUGGGAGUAUUUGAGAAAGCAAUGCGUGAUGCAUUCUUAUACAACAUACAUCAUUUAAAAACACAAUUUAAAAUGAAACCAAAUGAAAUUUUCAACGAUAAUGCUCAAAACUAUCCACUUUAUAAUGCAUUUUAUUAUGGUGCAUGGAAGGCCGCGAAUGUCACGUAUGUGAUUCGUAAAGGCGGUUCAUGGGCAUACAUAACGAUUGACAAUAUUAAAGAAUGUAUUGAUUCAGCUAACAAAGGAUUAGAAAUUUGGAGUGCUAUGUCUUAUGAUUCUAGAUUGCAAGUAUUAUCUAACUUUGUGUUCACAUUAGAGUGCAAUGGUAAAUUUUUAUUGGCAAAUGUAAUAUCAAGAUUAAUAAAAGGUUCAUAUCUUGUUAAAAAUCAUUUAAUGUGUUAUGAAAAGGGAAGAUUUGAAAUAACAGACCAACAUUACCCAAAAGGUGUUAUUUUUCUUAAGGAAGAAAAUGAAAUUACUUUAUUUUCAAGAUUAACACAAAUUUUAAUUACUGGCAAUUCUGUCAUUGUGCUGUGCGAUGCAAAUUCUUGUAACCUGGCACCAUAUUGUAAUAUGUUUGCAACAGCUCAGAUACCUUCAGGUGUUAUAAAUAUGUUGCCAAUUGAAAGUUUAGAAGAUUUGGAAAAAUUUUUAUUUGUUGAUUCUUAUGCAGACUAUACAGCUAAUUUUUUUUUUCGAAAAUCUCAGAUGAAUAAUUUAACAUUGGAGGACCUUAGCAUGUUCAAGCAAAUUAUAGUUGCUAUUAAAUAAUUUUAUUAUAUAUAGGUGAUCUAUUAUUGAUGCUAAAAACAAAUGUUUUUCAUAAUUUUUUUGUAUACGCAAAUAUAAAUACUUGGAUAUAUUCGUUUUGUUAUUACAAUGUGA